GUCUACGGCCAUACCACCCUGAACGCGCCCGAUCUCGUCUGAUCUCGGAAGCUAAGCAGGGUCGGGCCUGGUUAGUACUUGGAAGGGAGAAUGGUCAGCGUAGGCC
rnacentral:rRNA from 1 species